AGAAAAUCUACAGAUAAAAAAUGCAAGUUAAAAAAUUUGUUAAUUAUAUUGUUUCAGACAGGCAAACAGCACAUAAAUAUUUCUGCAUCACUAAACUAGAACGUGCCUUCAACUCAAUGGUUUAUAGUAAAAAAACCCACCAGGUGACAUUCUCAAGAAAACAUUCCUAAAAGAGCAGGGACACCUAGAAGCACCUGCAUGCAGCAGGGCAAGCCCCAGGCUCCCUGGGACUGGGCCACUCCAUCUCCAUCAGCCACAAGGCUGCCUUGGCAUCCUGAAGUGCAAAGCAACUGUCAACAUACAGAAUAUGUAGAACAGACCUUAUCAUUGGUAGAAAAAUAAAAUCUCUCAUCUGA